rnacentral:lncRNA from 1 species
GAUGUGUUAUGUUGUUCUGAAGAGAACAGUGGAUGUCAGCUGAGUUCGGUGUUCCGAAGAGAAGUGGAUGUCAGAUGAGUUUUGUUUUCUGAAGAGAACAGUGGAAGUUGGAGGAGACCAAUACAGAUGUUCUGAAGAGAACAGUGGAAGUCAAUGUGUGCUGUUGUUUCUGAAGAGAACAGUGGAAGUCAGUGUGUGCUGUUGUUCUGAAGAGAACAGUGGAAGUCAGAUGUGUGCUGUUGUUCUGAAGUCAGAUGUUUUCUGUUGUUCUGAAGAGAACAGUGGAAGUCAGAUGUUUUCUGUUGUUCUGAAGAGAACAGUGGAAGCAGAUGUGUGCUGUUGUUCUAAGUCAGAUGUUUUUCUGUUGUUCUGA